UAAGGAAUAUUGGUCAAUGUAGGGAACUCUGAACCAGCCAUGCCGCGUGCAGGAAGACAGCCCUCUGGGUCGUAAACUGCUUUUAUUCGGGAAUAAACCUAUCUACGUGUAGAUAGCUGAAUGUACCGAAGGAAUAAGGAUCGGCUAACUCUGUGCCAGCAGCCGCGGUAAUACGGAGGAUCCAAGCGUUAUCCGGAUUUAUUGGAUCUAAAGGGUGCGUAGGCGGCUUAUUAAGUCAGGGGUGAAAGACGGUGGCUCAACCAUCGCAGUGCCCUUGAUACUGAUGAGCUUGAAUGGACUAGAGGUAGGCGGAAUGUGACAAGUAGCGGUGAAAUGCAUAGAUAUGUCACAGAACACCGAUUGCGAAGGCAGCUUACUAUGGUAUAAUUGACGCUGAGGCACGAAAGCGUGGGGAUCAAACA
rnacentral:rRNA from 1 species